GCGAAAGCCUGACGGAGCAACGCCGCGUGAGUGAUGAAGGUCUUCGGAUCGUAAAGCUCUGUUGUUAGGGAAGAACAAAUGUGUAAGUAACUGUGCACAUCUUGACGGUACCUAACCAGAAAGCCACGGCUAACUACGUGCCAGCAGCCGCGGUAAUACGUAGGUGGCAAGCGUUAUCCGGAAUUAUUGGGCGUAAAGCGCGCGUAGGCGGUUUUUUAAGUCUGAUGUGAAAGCCCACGGCUCAACCGUGGAGGGUCAUUGGAAACUGGAAAACUUGAGUGCAGAAGAGGAAAGUGGAAUUCCAUGUGUAGCGGUGAAAUGCGCAGAGAUAUGGAGGAACACCAGUGGCGAAGGCGGCUUUCUGGUCUGCAACUGACGCUGAUGUGCGAAAGCGUGGGGAUCAAACAGGAUUAGAUACCCUGGUAGUCCA
rnacentral:rRNA from 1 species